UGGGUUGUGAUGGAGGAAGAGGUUUGAGGGUGAGGACAUGAGGGUCUGAGGACGGAGAGCAUGGUCUGAGGGAGGAGGAGCAGUUUGAGGAGGGCCUCCUUGGGACAGAGGGAAGAGAGGAGUGCUUGGGACCAAGCAGCGACUGAGGGAAGGGAAGAGAAGGGAGGCCUGGAGUCAGCCCCGCCCUGCAGCUGUCUAAUUUCCCAGAAUCUUCUACUGCUCAGGAAAGUCCCAGCUCCCACAGCCGCCUCCCUCCAGUGUCGGGAAUGGAGGAUGCGGAACCAGGACGGCUGCCCCCUCCUUUCCCCCCUGGCUCCCAGCACCCCAGGCUGGGAGGACUAGGGUCUCCCCUCUCUGCGCUUGAGCUCCGGAGGUCCCCUGCCGGCAGGGGGCAGCCCCUGGAUGAGUCCCAGAAAGUUCCCAGAGAGAGCCCGGAAGUCCUGCAUGGUGUCUAACCACUUUCCCUCACGCAGGCUGCCUUUUGUAUCUGUGCAAAUCUUUUCUUCCCUCCCACUGCUCCUUCCCUUCUACCCCUACCCCCAGGGAAGGAAGGGCUGAGCCCGUCCAAGGUCCCGAGAAGGAAACAAAGGCCUAGCUGGAAGGCUGUGGGCCUUGGGGCACUUUCUUGCUCUUGGGGGCCUUCCAAGAGGGGAGGAUAGUGCUUGUUAGAUACUAGAUUCCCAUUGGAUUAAUUCCUGGGCCUUUUUCUGUCCCAAGUUUUGCUCCCAACUGAGGCCUGAGCUUCUGUUUUCAUCAGCUGUGUGGCUUCCAGGCCAUUACUGAACUUCGUGGAGCCUCAACUUCCCCACCUAUCAGACAGACUAAAUCGAGACCCUAAUGCUUCCGUCCUCUAGGGCCCGAUGGAUAGGAAGUGUUAAAGGCAGUGUGGCUGCAAUUAUUAUGAUCCCUAUUAUAACCACAGGAACAACGGUGAUAAUUAUUCCUAUCCAGGAACCUAACGUUUCAACAGCUGGGCCCAUUUCAUUGAGGAAAUUGGGACCCAACAUGCUGGGCCUGGAAGAUACGGGUUUGAGGCCGGGUUCUGCCAUGUGUCGGCUGUGUGUGACUUUGGAUAGGUGGCUUUCCCUCUCUGUGCCUUUGUUGGUGACUUUACUGUUGGGGAUCAUAACAGCUCCUGCCUCACAGGGUUGCAGAGCAGAUUGAGACCACGUGUACAGAAGGAAUAACUGAAUGAAUGAAUGAACGGUGUCCCUUCUUGCCUCCAUGUUGCCUGCCUUAACUCAUCGGGCCAGGCCUUCCCUGUAACCCUCUCCGCCCAGAGAUAAAGCAGGAUGGGCCCAUUCGCCGUGGGCUGAACUCCCAUGAAGAACUGGCCCAUGUAAUCCUCUUGACAUCUCGUGAGGAAAUCCAGCUGAAACUCCCAUUUUACAGAGACACAACAGAGGAGCGGAGUCCCUGCUCAGGGUCAUCAAGAUUUUAUGCCAGGUCUCUGUGUCCCCCGCAGCCCGGCUGCUGGGGCAAUCGGUCCCCGAGACCACAGGCCUUCCCUCUCCUGUCUAACUCCAGACCCCUAUCCCCUAAGAAGGGAAUGGCUCAGGAGGGGAAAACUCAGGCACAAAGAGGCAAAGUCACAGCCAGAGAUUAGCAGGUCUACAGUCUGUCUGCAGGCUCCAGGCACAGGGAGGGUCGAGCUGAUGGAGGGAAGGUCGCGUCGCAGCAGGAAGGUAUAGAUUUAGAUUGAAGAGAGGGUUCCGGGAAAGCGAGCAGAUUGCACAGACAGAGGAGAACAGACCUGAGCCUGGAGCUGGGGGGCCCUGCCCAAGGUCACACAGCUUUGGGCUCUGAUUCCACCCUGGGUUUGCAGACUGCCCUGCUCCCAGAGGCUGCUCUUCCCCCCACCCCCCAGGAGUGAAUACAGGCCAGCUUCCUGCAGCAUGGCCUGUACCUCCUGGUUCCUCCCCACCCUGGGGCCUUGGCAGCUUCUGGAACCCCUGGCACCAAGCAGGAUCGGCCCUUCUGGGGCCUUGGCCAAGACUUGAUCUUCCCCUUUCUCCCUCUUGCUGGGUCUGCACGCACGACGCUGAGUCAGAGGAUUGCAACAUCCUCUCCUCGGGCUUUGAGACCAGACAUCCUCUGCCCCGUGCACUGCCUCUAUCGGGCCAAGGUGAUGCGAUGGGAGACAUCUAUGGAUAUUGGCAUCUGCCCUGGGUGGGGUUGGGCAACCUCAGAGGGAUCCCAGUGAGGCAAUGGUAGCCAGACGGUAGGCGGCGUAAUGCUGGGCCUCAAUGUCCUCAUCCGUAAGUGGGGCUCCCUGUCCAAUUGGCUUCGAAUCCCAGCUCUGCCACUUACCAGCUGCGUGACCUUGGGCAAGUGACUUAUCCCCUCUGAGCCUCAGUUUCCUCAUCUAUAAAAUGGGGAUGAAACCCAGCGAACGCCUCAUGGGGUGGUUGUGAGGUUCAAAGGAGUUAGCAAUGCGUCGACCCAAGCUGGCGAGGAGUCAGUUCUCGGGAAAUGGAAGGUAGUAUUUUUCAACGAUUGCUAUUAUUAAUACAGAUAUGGGAGUGGCAGAGGCUGCUUGGAUCUCUCAAGAAAAGACAUGCGGCGUGGCUGCCCCGCGUGCAGAUGGCUGGCUGAGAGCCUCCCACAGUUUGUUCCUUCAAGUUCUGCCUCAGCUCGCCAGUCGGGGACACCAGCUCCUGGCAGCGUCUGGCCAUUGACUGAGCCAGGCAAGGCACCUCCUUUCUGGAAGACCGGAUCCAUGCCGAUGGACUUUGGAGUCAGACAACUGGAGCACGAGUGUUGUCUCUGCCUGGGUGGCUUCGAAGCGGCAUCUGAUCUCUCCGAGCCUCAGUUUCCCCCUCUGAGUCAUGGGAACGGUAACGUGACGGCUGAGAGGCUCCAGUGAGUCAGCAACGAAGCCCUUAGCACACUUACCUGGCACCCAUACGUCACACUCAUCCAUCGGGAGGGAGACAAAUCUGGGUCUAUUUUCCACUCUGCCGGUUUCUGGCCUCUGAGCCUGGUCUGUAAGGUGGGGAUGGACCCUGUCCUUCCCCGAGUAGGACGCCCUGAGUCAGGUGCGGAAAGCCCCGGCCAAGCCUGGCACACCAGAAGCUCGAUAGCCGGGUGGUGUCAUUACGGCCACUGCCUUGAGGGGCUGAGCCGGCCAAGUCAUCUGAGGAACAGGUGAGCAGGGAGCUGUAGGGCAGGCGUGUCUCACCCCCAUGGGGCCCUGGUCUUGGGCUGACCAACGAAGGGAAGUCCCAGGGCUGGGAAACCGUGGCGUCCUCCUGUAGAAGCUCCCUGAUUCUGGGAUACACCACAGAGGUGGGGAGGAGGGAGGAGGAAGCCCCCUGCCUUGCUCAUUCAGUGGGCAAGAAGGGAGGGAGAAUGUACAAGAAAAAAAAAAAAGUCGGCCUCCCUCGUCAGACUUGAGCAGACCUCCUCCAUCAGACUGGGAGGUCCCUGGGGUGGGGAUAGGUUCCCCGUCAGUGUAGGAGUUCCUUGUGCCUUUGAGUUGCGUUCUCCCUCCUCCAUCAGAUCAGGAUCUCCCUCAGAAGGGGGCAUGUGUCACUUGUCCACGGAUUAGAUUAUCUCUAAGAGUGAGUGAUGCCUCCCCUAUCAGACUGGGAAUUUUCCCCGGGUGUGUGGGGGGGUGUCUGGGGCAUGCCUCUCUGGGGACUGGGAGGUCGCUCGAGAUGAGGCGACAUGUUCCCCUCGUCUGUCUAAGGACAUCGGUUCUCAAUUGAGGGGGGCAAUUUUGCCCCCUUCGGGGGACAUCCGGAUGAGUAUUAGACUAGAGCUUCCCGAAGAUGGUGGGCAUGCCUCCGCCAUCGUUCUAAAGUUCCCUGAGCGUGAGUCUGGGUCCUGCCUCCUCCAUCGGACUGUCGCGCUGAGUUGUGGAGCUUGAAUUGGCCGUUGUAUGGGGAGCCCUGUGAGGGUGAGAUUAAUCUUAUCCCCAGCAUUAAAUGAGAAGUAUGGAUUACUCAGGAGGGAGCUGUUGCCUGUCUCCUCCAUCAGAUUAGUGCUUGCUUCCAGAGCCCUGAGUCGGGGAAGUCUCUCUCUCUCCAGUCAACCCUCAACCCAGCCACUCCCUGAGACGGGACAAGCCUCCCCCAGUUGGAGUCCCCACCACUUUGCAAACGCACUCCCCAGGGCACAGCCCAGAACCCAUCCCGGAGGAAGGGACAACACCUUCCCUGGAGAGCCAGCCUUUUUUCCUGGAAGUUGGCAUGUCCCCAGCCCGAGGCCACAACCACUGCUGCGGCCACCAGGGCCUAAAAAUACAGAUGUAAAAGUUCCCUGGGCUCCUGGGAACGCCGAGGUCACACCAGGCUCUUCCUCAUUUGAGCCAGAGCCACAGCGAACUGUCCUCUCCUGUGCCCCAACUAUCUAUCGUCCCAGCGGGAGCCACCCCUGCCCUCCAGCCCCCUUCCCAGGAGAGUGAGGGCCGGGGCGGGGGGUCUCCACCACCAGACUUUGUGGAGUCGGGUCGCCAGCUGGAAGCAACGCCUGGCACCGCUUCUCGGCUCUGCAACUCUGGGCAGGCCGUUUGCGCAUCUGGAAGGCGUGAGGCCGCACCCGUGGAUUGCCUGGCUCUGGGCUGGCUGGUGACAGAUGGGGUAAACUGGGGCAGGCGGGGGGCGCUCCUCCAGUCAUGCCUUGCAGGAGCUGCGGGUGGGGGUGGCUGUCGGCUUGUGGCGGCUCCUUUGGCCAUUACCCAUCUCUGAACUUGUCACUUUGGCCUCCUGUGGUUACGUGGCGUCACAGUGCGUUGGCUCACUUCUGGGAAAAUCAAAUCGUAUUGUGUGUUUCAGAUCCCAAUUCUCCUCCUGCGGGUUCCCUCUGCCGCCCUCCUGCCUUCGGGCCCAGGAAUGUUGCCCCCUGGAGACCCAAGUCAUCUGAGGAGCAGAACGGGGCCGAACGGUGGAAUUCAAAAAAUACGUAUUUUCACAUUAUGAAACAUAAUGUGGAGAAUUACAUACAAGACAAUGUUCCAUUUUACGACCUGUUGUAAAGAGAACAGUAAUAGUUUUGCCAGUUCAUCAGAAGCCCCUUGGUGCCUCUUCCAAAUCACAACACUUUUCCUCCUUUCAGGUAACCCCUGUUUCUUUUAUGUGUUUAUUGCCUUCUUUUAUACAUUUUUUUUAUUUUGUAAAUUGUAUUUAUUAAACAAUUGUUUAAUGUU